AAAUUGAAGAGUUUGAUCAUGGCUCAGAUUGAACGCUGGCGGCAGGCCUAACACAUGCAAGUCGAGCGGUAGCACAGAGAGCUUGCUCUCGGGUGACGAGCGGCGGACGGGUGAGUAAUGUCUGGGAAACUGCCUGAUGGAGGGGGAUAACUACUGGAAACGGUAGCUAAUACCGCAUAACGUCGCAAGACCAAAGUGGGGGACCUUCGGGCCUCAUGCCAUCAGAUGUGCCCAGAUGGGAUUAGCUAGUAGGUGGGGUAACGGCUCACCUAGGCGACGAUCCCUAGCUGGUCUGAGAGGAUGACCAGCCACACUGGAACUGAGACACGGUCCAGACUCCUACGGGAGGCAGCAGUGGGGAAUAUUGCACAAUGGGCGCAAGCCUGAUGCAGCCAUGCCGCGUGUAUGAAGAAGGCCUUCGGGUUGUAAAGUACUUUCAGCGGGGAGGAAGGCGAUAAGGUUAAUAACCUUGUCGAUUGACGUUACCCGCAGAAGAAGCACCGGCUAACUCCGUGCCAGCAGCCGCGGUAAUACGGAGGGUGCAAGCGUUAAUCGGAAUUACUGGGCGUAAAGCGCACGCAGGCGGUCUGUCAAGUCGGAUGUGAAAUCCCCGGGCUCAACCUGGGAACUGCAUUCGAAACUGGCAGGCUAGAGUCUUGUAGAGGGGGGUAGAAUUCCAGGUGUAGCGGUGAAAUGCGUAGAGAUCUGGAGGAAUACCGGUGGCGAAGGCGGCCCCCUGGACAAAGACUGACGCUCAGGUGCGAAAGCGUGGGGAGCAAACAGGAUUAGAUACCCUGGUAGUCCACGCCGUAAACGAUGUCGAUUUGGAGGUUGUGCCCUUGAGGCGUGGCUUCCGGAGCUAACGCGUUAAAUCGACCGCCUGGGGAGUACGGCCGCAAGGUUAAAACUCAAAUGAAUUGACGGGGGCCCGCACAAGCGGUGGAGCAUGUGGUUUAAUUCGAUGCAACGCGAAGAACCUUACCUGGUCUUGACAUCCACAGAACUUAGCAGAGAUGCUUUGGUGCCUUCGGGAACUGUGAGACAGGUGCUGCAUGGCUGUCGUCAGCUCGUGUUGUGAAAUGUUGGGUUAAGUCCCGCAACGAGCGCAACCCUUAUCCUUUGUUGCCAGCGGUU
rnacentral:rRNA from 2 species